rnacentral:rRNA from 1 species
CCUACGGGAGGCAGCAGUGGGGAAUUUUGGACAAUGGGGGAAACCCUGAUCCAGCCAUUCCGCGUGAGUGAAGAAGGCCUUCGGGUUGUAAAGCUCUUUCGGCAGGAACGAAGCGGCGGACUCUAACAUAGUCUGUCAAUGACGGUACCUGAAGAAGAAGCACCGGCUAACUACGUGCCAGCAGCCGCGGUAAUACGUAGGGUGCGAGCGUUAAUCGGAAUUACUGGGCGUAAAGCGUGCGCAGGCGGUUUUGUAAGACAGGCGUGAAAUCCCCGGGCUUAACCUGGGAACUGCGCUUGUGACUGCAAGGCUAGAGUGCGGCAGAGGGGGGUAGAAUUCCACGUGUAGCAGUGAAAUGCGUAGAG